GUACCCUACUCUUCCUCUGGCUCCCACUACUUAAAAAAUAGUUUGUACCUUCCUCUCUGAGAAGCAGCAUAACAUAGCUGAAAGAUCCCUGGUCUGGUUGUCUGGACACUGGGUUCUAAUUCUGACUCCGCCACUUGCCUACCUUCUCUAAGCCUCAGUUUCCUCAUCAGUAAAAUGGAGAAAAACAAGGAGCCACGAGGGGAAUCCUGUGAAGGUCACCUUUCCAGAGACACUUAGCCUGGUUAAAAGCAGAGCCAAUUGAACCGUGGGGUUUGGAUUGGCUGUCCUGGGAGCCUGUGAGGCUCAGAUCACCGACUGAGCCCUUGGAGACAGGGAGAAGAAGCGGAAGGUCGAAAAAUUAAAGAUCCCCUGGUCUGGAACUCCCUUCCCAGGGACUCCAUGGACAUAUCUCUCCCGGAAUGCCCCAAAUCC